UUUUGACUUCUCUUAUAUUGAGUUAUCUCUCUUUGGAUAUUGUUUAGUUAUGAACCGCCAUAUUUUUUGGUUACACGUUUUUCUGACCUCGUGUUCAAUAUCGCAAAUUGUGGCCCAUCACAGUCUUUUUACCAUCAACAUCAUUGUGUUAUCAUAAUAAAUUCAACUGAAACACUUU